CUCUGCAAACUAGAAGUCUGAGGCCAGGGUUUCAGCAUGGUCGGGUCCUGAUGAGGGCUCCCUUCCUGGCUUGCAGAUGGCCACCUUCUUGCUGUGUCUUCAUAUGGUGCGAGGAGAGAGAGAGAAGAGAGAAAGAAGAGAGAGAGAAGAGGAGAUAAAGAGAGAGAGAGAGAAGAGAGAGAGGAAAGAGAGAGAGAGAGAGAGAAAGCUCUCUAGUAUCUCUUAAGCACCCUAAAAUCCUUUUGGAUCAGGGCUCUGCCCUUAUGACGUCAUUUAGCCUUAAUUACUUCUGUAAAGGGCUUGUCUCCAAAUACAGUCACCUUGGGGGUUAGGGUUACAACUUUUGAAUUGGGGAGGGACACAACUCAGUCCACAGCAGGAGGGCAGAGGUAGGAUGAAGAUGGGAAAAUGGUAGCCCAGGAAGCACACCUGCCCUAGAACACACACUGCCAGAACAGCACCUAUUGGUAGCAAGAGCCUCUGCCAGCACUGGAGGAACUUUAAGCGCUUCCCCUAUCUGUGUCUCUAUUUCGCUGGUACACAAUGUAGGAGUAGUGCUGUUCUCAAAUAUCCCCAGGAUACAACCAAGCUCUCUUCCAAGGGCAAAUGUCCCAGGGGCUCAAAAAAAGAGCCAGAUGGUCUUUCAAACAAGCCCAUUCAAGGCUAAAAGAAGGGAGGGGAGGUAAUGCUAAGUUUAGAGACUCUAAAUCCUCCCUUGGGAGUGAGUGAGCCUGUCUCAGGCAGCCCAGGAGCAAGAGAAGAAGACACCUCCUGUCACUCUGAGCUGUAAGAGAAGAGAGAGGGGGCUGCAUGCCUCACCCACCCAAGUCCACCUCACUCCUAAAUACAAACUUGUGUAGUGUUUAACUCUAGAUGUAAUUAUGAGAGCCACUACCUUCUUGAAAAAGUUUUGGUCAUCAAAGCAAAGGCUGACUUCCAUUUCUUUCCAUGUUUAAUUAGGGAAAGGCUGUUUCCAUGAUGUGAGUCUGUGAGUCUCACCCACUGAGUCAGAUUGUCAUCCAUCCUGCAGAGUUUGACUGGAGCCCACAACACCCCUGCCGGGCCAUAAAAGGGUUCCCAGCAACAAGAACAAUGGAGAGGGGAGGGCUGAGGCUGGGACAGCAUAAAGAGUAGGAGGAGCCAAGAGGAGGACCUCUAGUUGGGACUAGAGUCGGGUAGGGUGGGAGAAGCCUGGGUGGGUGGGGGGGCUCCACGGAGGAGGUGCUAUCUGAGAUAAACUGAAAGAGGAAGAGGAGUUCACCUGGGGAGCAUUUAGGAAGUAGGACAGUGUUCCAAUCAAAAGUACAGAAGGGGCUAGGUGUGAUGAGCACAUGUCUAUAGUCCAAGCCACACAGGAAGCCAAGGAGGAAGGAUUGCUUGAACCCAGAAGGUCAAGGCUACAGUGAGCCAUGAUCAUGCCACUGCACUCAGCCUGGGCAACAGAGCAAGACCCUGUUUCAGAAAACAAAACGAAAGUGCAGAAGGGAGAUAAAAGCUGUUUCAGGUUGAGGGGGUCUAUGGUAAAGAGUGGGCUCUUUCCAGAGGGCAAUAGGGAGCAACUGGAAAGUUUGAGCAGGAGAGUGGCUUGAUGCAACUUGUUUUGUUUGCUCCUUUAUGUGUUUGGACGGGGUGGGAAUUGGACAGAAAAUACACUCAUGGUGCCAUUCAUCUACUUUUGUGCGUGCCUCCCUCCCCUUCUCUUUUCCCAUUUUGAUUUACUUUUUGUUUGAGGUAAAAGAGUUUUACUGUUCAGUUUCAGCAAGCCUCCAAGACACACAUAAAAUGAAAUUACAAUAGUUGUUUUGCAGAAUAGAACAAAGAGCAAAAAUUACCUAUCUCAUUUUAAAGCUAUUAUAACCUUGAUGCUUAAACCUGACAGGGAUGGCAUCAUAAAAUAAAAUGUGAGACAAAUUUCAAUGUGGCCGUAGCUUAUUUUUAUCUUAUACAAAAUGCUAGCAAUUUGAAUUCAGCAAUGCAUAAAAUACCUCAUGAUAGUAGUACCACAAGAAUAUUUCAAUAUAAGAUACCUGUUCUGAGCUGAAUUAUGUCCCCCCAGAAUUCAUAUGUUGAGGUUCUAACACCCAGUACCUCAGAAUAUGACUGUAUUUGGAGAUAGAGUCUUUAAAGUGGUAAUUAAGUUAAAGUGAGGUUAUUAGGGUGGGCCCUAAUCUGACUGGUGUCCUUGUAAGAAGAGGAAAUUUGGGCAGAGGCAUAGAUAUCUGCAGAGGAAACACCGUGUGAGGACACAGGGAGAAGACAAUCAUCUACAAGCCAAAGAGAGAGGCCUCAGAAGAAACCAAUCCUGCUGACACCUUGAUCUUCAGACGUCCAGCCACCAGAACCAUGAGAAAAUAAAUGUCUGUUCUUUAAGCCACUCAGUCUGUGGAACUUUGGUAGGGCAGCCCCAGCAAAGUACUAGAGUAAAAGACCAAAGUAGAAAACCUAUAUAAACAUAUCAGUAAAUGCAGAGAAAGCAGUGGCUACAAUUCAAUUCUUUUUAAGGCUUUCAAUGAAGGAUAACAUACCUACAAAAAAAGUCUACAAAUCCUCACUGUACAGUGAAUUUUCACCAGCUAAACACACCUGUGUAAUGAGCACUUGGAUCAAGAAACAGAACGCAAGAAGCAUCCCAGAGCCCUCCCCAUGUCCUCUUCAACACCAGUCGGGCUGUGUGGGCUGAAUUGUGUCCUUGUAAAGUUCAUUUGUUGAAUCCCUAAUCAUCAAAGUGACUGUAUUUGGAGACAGAGCCUCUAAAGAGGGUAAUUAAUGUUAAAGUUAUAAAGUGGGGUCCUGAUCCAAAAGGACUGGUGUCCUUAUAAGAAAAAGAAGACAGCAGCAAGCCACAAGAGAAAAUGCCAUGUGAGGACACAGGGAGAAGGUGGCCAUCUACCUACAAGCCAAGGACAGAGGUCUCAGGAGAAACCAACCCUGCUGACACUUUGAUCUUGGAAUUCCAGCCUCCAGAACCAUGAGAAAAUAAAUGUCUGGUUUAAGACACCCAGCCUAUGGUAUCUUGUGAUGGCAGCCCAAGCAGACUAAUGAAUGCUUCUCUCCUGCUUUAAUUAAUUUUUAUUACACACACA
rnacentral:lncRNA from 1 species